UACAGAGGUCUCAAGCGUUGUUCGGAUUCAUUGGGCGUAAAGGGUGCGUAGGCGGCGCGGUAAGUCGGGUGUGAAAUCUUGGAGCUUAACUCCGAAACUGCAUUCGAUACUGCCGUGCUUGAGGACUGGAGAGGAGACUGGAAUUUACGGUGUAGCGGUGAAAUGCGUAGAUAUCGUAAGGAAGACCAGUGGCGAAAGGCGGGUCUCUGGACAGGUUCCUGACGUGAGGCACGAAGGUCAGGGGAGCAAACGG
rnacentral:rRNA from 1 species